UACGUAGGGCGCAAGCGUUAUCCGGAAUUAUUGGGCGUAAAGAGCUCGUAGGCGGUUUGUCGCGUCUGCCGUGAAAGUCCGGGGCUCAACUCCGGAUCUGCGGUGGGUACGGGCAGACUAGAGUGAUGUAGGGGAGACUGGAAUUCCUGGUGUAGCGGUGAAAUGCGUAGAUAUCGUAAGGAAGACCAGUGGCGAAGGCGAAUCUCUGGACAGUUACUGACACUGAGGCACGAAGGCCAGGGGAGCAAACGGG
rnacentral:rRNA from 1 species